GUGUCAGCCGCCGCGGUAAUACGGAGGGUGCAAGCGUUGUCCGGAAUCACUGGGUGUAAAGGGUGUGUAGGCGGCUCUGUAAGUCAGAGGUGAAAUCCCGCAGCUUAACUGUGGAACUGCCUUUGAUACUGCAGAACUUGAGUCUCGGAGAGGUAGCUGGAAUUCGUGGUGUAGCGGUGAAAUGCGUAGAUAUCACGAGGAACACCAGAGGCGUAGGCGGGCUACUGGACGAGUACUGACGCUGAGGCACGAAAGCGUGGGGAGCAAACAGGAUUAGAAACCCGCGUAGUCC
rnacentral:rRNA from 1 species